GCAUAUCAAUAAGCGGAGGAAAAGAAACCAACAGGGAUUGCCCUAGUAACGGCGAGUGAAGCGGCAACAGCUCAAAUUUGAAAUCUGGCGUCUUUGGCGUCCGAGUUGUAAUUUGCAGAGGGCGCUUUGGCAUUGGCAGCGGUCCAAGUUCCUUGGAACAGGACGUCACAGAGGGUGAGAAUCCCGUACGUGGUCGCUAGCCUUUACCGUGUAAAGCCCCUUCGACGAGUCGAGUUGUUUGGGAAUGCAGCUCUAAAUGGGAGGUAAAUUUCUUCUAAAGCUAAAUACUGGCCAGAGACCGAUAGCGCACAAGUAGAGUGAUCGAAAGAUGAAAAGCACUUUGGAAAGAGAGUUAAAAAGCACGUGAAAUUGUUGAAAGGGAAGCGCUUGCAGCCAGACUUGCCUGUAGUUGCUCAUCCGGGUUUUUACCCGGUGCACUCUUCUAUAGGCAGGCCAGCAUCAGUUUGGGCGGUUGGAUAAAGGUCUCUGUCAUGUACCUCUCUUCGGGGAGAACUUAUAGGGGAGACGACAUGCAACCAGCCUGGACUGAGGUCCGCGCAUCUGCUAGGAUGCUGGCGUAAUGGCUGUAAGCGGCCCGUCUUGAAACACGGACCAAGGAGUCUAACAUCUAUGCGAGUGUUUGGGUGUCAAGCCCGAACGCGUAAUGAAAGUGAACGGAGGUGGGAACCUUUCGGGGUGCACCAUCGACCGAUCCUGAUGUCUUCGGAUGGAUUUGAGUAAGAGCAUAGCUGUUGGGACCCGAAAGAUGGUGAACUAUGCUUGAAUAGGGUGAAAGCCAGAGGAAACUCUGGUGGAGGCUCGCAGCGGUUCUGACGUGCAAAUCGAUCGUCAAAUUUGGGCAUAGGGGGCGAAAGACUAAUCGAACUAUCUAGUAGCUGGUUCCUGCCGAAG
rnacentral:rRNA from 1 species